rnacentral:rRNA from 1 species
AGUGAACGCUGGCGGUAGGCCUAACACAUGCAAGUCGAACGGCAGCACAGUAAGAGCUUGCUCUUACGGGUGGCGAGUGGCGGACGGGUGAGGAAUACAUCGGAGUCUACUUUUUCGUGGGGGAUAACGUAGGGAAACUUACGCUAAUACCGCAUACGACCUACGGGUGAAAGCAGGGGAUCUUCGGACCUCGCGCGAUUGAAUGAGCCGAUGUCGGAUUAGCUAGUUGGCGGGGUAAAGGCCCACCAAGGCGACGAUCCGUAGCUGGUCUGAGAGGAUGAUCAGCCACACUGGAACUGAGACACGGUCCAGACUCCUACGGGAGGCAGCAGUGGGGAAUAUUGGACAAUGGGCGCAUGCCUGAUCCAGCCAUACCGCGUGGGUGAAGAAGGCCUUCGGGUUGUAAAGCCCUUUUGUUGGGAAAGAAAAGCAGCAGGUUAAUACCCCGCUGUUCUGACGGUACCCAAAGAAUAAGCACCGGCUAACUUCGUG